UACGUAGGUGGCUAGCGUUGUCCGGAUUUACUGGGCGUAAAGAGCGCGUAGGCGGUCGUUCAAGUCGAGUGUGAAAGCCCCCGGCUCAACUGGGGAGGGUCACUCGAUACUGAUCGACUCGAAGGCAGGAGAGGGAAGCGGAAUUCCCGGUGUAGUGGUGAAAUGCGUAGAUAUCGGGAGGAACACCAGUGGCGAAGGCGGCUUUCUGGCCUGCUCUUGACGCUGAGGCGCGAAAGCUAGGGUAGCAAACGGG
rnacentral:rRNA from 1 species